UACGUAGGCAGCAAGCGUUGUUCGGAGUUACUGGGCGUAAAGGGUGUGUAGGCGGCUCUUUAAGUUUGGUGUGAAAUCUCCCGGCUCAACCGGGAGGGUGCGCCGAAUACUGAGGGACUAGAGUGCGGGAGAGGAAAGUGGAAUUCCUGGUGUAGCGGUGAAAUGCGUAGAUAUCAGGAGGAACACCGGUGGUGUAGACGGCUUUCUGGACCGUAACUGACGCUGAGACACGAAAGCGUGGGUAGCAAACAGG
rnacentral:rRNA from 1 species